AGUGUAGCUGAAGGAGAAUUCAUCUUUUCUGCACCUUGUUGCUGGGNCAUUGGAUUGUAGAGAUGCAUUUUUUGCGUCAAGAUCACCAAGUAUGGGGCAACCUGUAAUUGGCCUUGAGCUCUAUAAUCUAUGGCAUGUUCCAGGAUACUCUAAGCAGCAUUUGUGUGAGAAGUGCAUUUUCUCAACUUUCGUGCUCGAGCCUCGACCAAUGUGAAAGGGAUUUAGCAAAUCCUGUAUCCUUGUGAUUAUAGAAAGAUGUGCUAACACCAUAUCUGAUCUGURUACAGUUAUCAUUGCUAAUGGUUCACCUUGUGUGUCCAUAACUAGUAUAUGAGCUGUUACAGGUAACUAUGUAUAUCACAUGCACAUUGGACAAGAAUCUCUGUGUAUGCAGGGUCAGUACAAUGCUUUACAAGGUGCCAGUGAAUUCGAGUUAUAUUUCGACAAUUGGAUAACGUUUGUGUACCCAGUAUACAAACUGUUCAUGGUUAUAUAAUUCUUCAGUAAUUUAUUGGAAGCACAUCUUGGUAAGCUAAUGAAUUACUGUAUUGUGWUUCGGAGGCAAGUAGAUCGGUAAUCUAUCCGACCCGUCUUGAAACACGGACCAAGGAGUCUAACAUAUAUGCAAGCCGAACAGUCUUGAAUAGGCUUGUAAGGCGUAUUGAAAGAGAUUGGUAUGAUGUGAUAUCAUUAUCUUGUAUUAUAUUGUAGUACAAGUUGAUACACCGCAAUACCAGCCCGUGUUAUAUCCUCUUUACUGAGAUUUUCAUGGAGCUAUAGUAUACAUGUUAGUACCCGAAAGAUGGUGAACUAUGCCCGGACAAGAUGAAGCCAGAGGAAACUCUGGUGGAGGUCUGUAGCGAUUCUGACGUGCAAAUCGAUCGUCAGAUCUGGGUAUAGGGGCGAAAGACUAAUCGAAC
rnacentral:rRNA from 1 species